UACGGAGGGGGCUAGCGUUGUUCGGAAUUACUGGGCGUAAAGCGCACGUAGGCGGACCAGCAAGUUAGGGGUGAAAUCCCGGGGCUCAACCCCGGAACUGCCUUUAAAACUGGUGGUCUGGAGGUCGAGAGAGGUGAGUGGAAUUCCGAGUGUAGAGGUGAAAUUCGUAGAUAUUCGGAGGAACACCAGUGGCGAAGGCGGCUCACUGGCUCGAUACUGACGCUGAGGUGCGAAAGCGUGGGGAGCAAACAGG
rnacentral:rRNA from 1 species